CCUCCUGCAACUCCAUCCCUCUCCACUCCUACAACCCUCUCUUGCUCCUCACCUCCUCCUGCAACCCCGCCUCUCUCUGUGCCAUCCCCCUCUAACCCUCCCACCACCUCUCCUCCUGUCGAAUGCGCGAUGACAACGCAAAAGGAAUUGCUGGGAAAAAGAAAAAGAGAUGAAGCCACAGGCUGCAAACAGCACACCUGGCAGAAGCUUUUCUUUUUUGAGAAGAUAAUAGAGAGGAGGUCAAAGCAGGGAAUAGAGGAGGUCAGAGUGCACUGGAAGUCUUGUUCAGCUUGUGGCAAAGAGUGGGAGGACACCUGGGAGCCUGCUGUUAAUUAUUCGCUCUAGCUGUCGCUAGCUAUCGUUUAUGAAUUCACAUUUUUAAAGACUUGUUUAUAUGUAAUUGGAACAGAAUUUAUUCACUAUUGAAGUCUUGUAGCUUCAUACUCUUUGUGUCUAACUUUGUCCCUUUUUAUUAAUUUUGUGAUACAAUUCAUAAAUUCCUAUUAUUAUUUCUUUCUUUAUUUGUAUGUAUUAUUUUUGCUUUAUCAUGGAGAUAUUCAUUUAUGUAUGAUGGGGGGGGUAAUAAACACUUUUUUCAAUCCCCUUCCUGGAUACUGUAAGAUAGAAGUAUGUUGUGAUGUAAUGUAAGAUGUGAUAGAGGCCAUGUUCAGCUCAUUCUCACAUUGAUACUUGUGUACCUGUAUUCUCCCUCAGUGUGAACCGCUCCGGGUGAGAUACUGAAUGUUUUCUUUAAUCACAUGUUUUCUGAUCCACACAUAAUGUGACCGGCUCGUCUUAUUUCACCGUUUGUGGUUCUGGGACCUCCAGAUACACAAGAACUGAAAACAUUAUUUGUAUUAUAUGUCCCAUUUAAGACUGAAUUGAGAGGAACCACAGAUACUCAAUAACAGUAUUUGCUGGUAUUAGUCAUACAGUACAUUAACGUAUCAUUUGAACCUUUCAGGACAAGCUGAUUUCAGGUGAAGUUUUUAAGACAAUCCGAUGUUAUUCAGCUUCACACACACACUCGUGUCCAAUUGUUUAUGAUUUUAAAUUGAAACUUUUACUUUUGAUUUGCUAUUUCACAUAUUGAACUGAUUUUUAGAUGGAGAAUAUAGGAAAUGUUUAUAAAAUACAAUGCUUUGCUGUAGAUGAAACUACCCGACAGAAUAAACACUGUGAAGAGA